rnacentral:rRNA from 1 species
UACGGAGGGGACUAGCGUUGUUCGGAAUUACUGGGCGUAAAGCGCACGUAGGCGGAUUUGUAAGUCAGGGGUGAAAUCCCGAGGCUCAGCCUCGGAACUGCCUUUGAUACUGCAAAUCUCGAGUCCGGAAGAGGUGAGUGGAAUUCCUAGUGUAGAGGUGAAAUUCGUAGAUAUUAGGAAGAACACCAGUGGCGAAGGCGGCUCACUGGCCCGAUACUGACGCUGAGGCACGAAAGCGUGGGGAGCAAACAGG